GGCCUGCGGCCCAUCAGCUAGUUGGAGAGGUAACGGCUCCCCAAGGCAAUGACGGGUAGGGGGUGUGAGAGCAUGGCCCCCCACACUGGGACUGAGACACGGCCCAGACUCCUACGGGAGGCAGCAGCAGGGAAUAUUGCGCAAUGGACGGAAGUCUGACGCAGCGACGCCGCGUGGAUGACGAAGGCCUUCGGGUUGUAAAAUCCUUUUCCGGGCGAUGAGGAAGGACACUAGCCUGGGAAUAAGCGUCGGCUAACUACGUGCCAGCAGCCGCGGUAAGACGUAGGACGCGAGCGUUAUCCGGAUUUACUGGGCGUAAAGCGCCUGCAGGCGGUCAGGUAAGUCGGUUGUGAAAGCCCCGUGCUCAACGCGGGGAGGCCAAGCGAUACUGCGUGACUUGAGGGCGGAAGAGGGGAGUGGAAUUCCCGGUGUAGCGGUAAAAUGCGCAGAUAUCGGGAGGAACACCAGUGGCGAAGGCGGCUCCCUGGACCGCACCUGACGCUCAGAGGCGAAAGCUAGGGGAGCGAACAGGAUUAGAGACCCUGGUAGUCCUAGCCCUAAACGCUGGAUGCUAGGUGUAGGGCUGAUGAGGCUCUGUGCCGGAGCGAACGCGAUAAGCAUCCCGCCUGGGAACUACGGCCGCAAGGCUAAAACUCAAACGAAUUGACGGGGACCCGCACAAGCAGCGGAGCGUGUGGUUUAAUUCGAUGCUACACGAAGAACCUUACCUGGGUUUGACAUGCUGGUGGUACCGAACCGAAAGGGGAGGGACCCUUCGGGGAGCCAACACAGGUGCUGCAUGGCUGUCGUCAGCUCGUGCCGUGAGGUGUCGGGUUAAGUCCCGUAACGAGCGCAACCCUUGCUCUUAGUUAUACGUGUCUAAGGGGACUGCCGGCGACAAGCCGGAGGAAGGUGGGGAUGACGUCAAGUCAGCAUGGCAUUGAUAUCCAGGGCUACACACACGCUACAAUGGCCGGUACAAAGGGCAGCCAAGCCGCGAGGUGGAGCGAAUCCCAGCAAAGCCGGUCCCAGUUCGGAUUGCAGGCUGCAACCCGCAUGCAUGAAGUUGGAGUUGCUAGUAACCGCGCGUCAGCCAUAGUGCGGUGAAUACGUACCCGGGUCUUGUACACACCGCCACGUCACGUCAUGGGAGUUGGCAACG
rnacentral:rRNA from 1 species